UGUCACCACCUCCUCAGUGUCUGGUCUUGUUGUUACUUCUUGAAUCAACUUACCUGCUCUGCUCUACAAUCCCUUCAUCUUCAGUCAUCUGUUCAGCAUUCUGGAUUCCCCAUGAACCUGCAAAUCAAGGACAGUGUUACUGCUCAGACCAGACCCAACAUGCAAAACAACGCAGAGCCAAGCAGCACUCCGAGACCAGAUCCAAUUGCUGAGCUUGCACAGGCCAUCAAUCAGUCUCUUUAGCCACUCUCUACCACCGUUUCACAAUCUGCCUCCACCAGUCCCAUGGCCCAUCCGACGAAGUACUCUGGAUGCAGCUCUCUCCAAAUAUCCACCAGGCCAAGGUUCUUACAAGUAUUAUGCAAAAUAUGUUAGGAUUUACAACAAAUUAAAACGUGGGGAUCACGUACGACAAAGUUAUGGCAAUUUGGAGCAUAUGCAUUCCCUACAGUGAUGUGUCUUCCAAGAAUGAAACCAGAAAUGGACAAAUCUUCAGAAUCAUAUUCUGCAGGCUUGAGGAGAAAUUUAAUGUUUUUUAUGAAUAGGAAUUGCAGUGUCCCUGACUCCCUGCUAUUUGAUGUAAAUGAGGAAAAAUAAAUCUUACCAACCCAA